rnacentral:rRNA from 1 species
GCAGGCUGCAACUCGCCUGCAUGAAGUCGGAAUUGCUAGUAAUCGCGGAUCAGCAUGCCGCGGUGAAUACGUUCUCGGGCCUUGUACACACCGCCCGUCACACCAUGGGAGUCGGUAACACCCGAAGUCUGUAGCCUGACGCAAGAGGGUGCAGCCGAAGGUGGGAUUGAUGACUGGGGUGAAGUCGUAACAAGGUAUC